rnacentral:pre_miRNA from 1 species
AGGAACCAUCCCAGUGCCUGCGGCAGCUCUGGAAACCUGGAUUCAGCUCCCGCAGGAACUUCUCAGUCUCCAGGGGCCUGGAGGCUCCAUGGGUGG